rnacentral:rRNA from 1 species
AACGAACGCUGGCGGCAUGCCUAACACAUGCAAGUCGAACGAGACCUUCGGGUCUAGUGGCGCACGGGUGCGUAACGCGUUGGAACCUGCCCUUAGGUUCGGAAUAACUCCCCGAAUGGGGUGCUAAUACCGGAUAAUGUCUUCGGACCAAAGAUUUAUCGCCUUUGGAUGGGCCCGCGUUGGAUUGGCUAGUUGGUAGGGUAAAAGCCUACCAAGGCGACGAUCCAUAGCUGGUCUGAGAGGAGGCUCAGCCACACUGGGACUGAGACACGGCCCAGACUCCUACGGGAGGCAGCAGUGGGGAAUAUUGGACAAUGGGCGAAAGACUGAGCCAGCAAUGCCGCGUGAGUGAUGAAGGCCUUAGGGUUGGAAAGCUCUUUUACCCGGGAUGAUAAUGACAGUACCGGGAGAAUAAGCUCCGGCUAGCUCCGUG